rnacentral:rRNA from 1 species
CCUACGGGGGGCAGCAGUGGGGAAUAUUGGACAAUGGGGGGAACCCUGAUCCAGCCAUGCCGCGUGUGUGAAGAAGGCCCUCGGGUUGUAAAGCACUUUCAGUGAGGAAGAACGCCUGGUGGUUAAUACCCAUCAGGAAAGACAUCACUCACAGAAGAAGCACCGGCUAACUCCGUGCCAGCAGCCGCGGUAAUACGGAGGGUGCGAGCGUUAAUCGGAAUUACUGGGCGUAAAGCGCGCGUAGGUGGCUUGAUAAGCCGGUUGUGAAAGCCCCGGGCUCAACCUGGGAACGGCAUCCGGAACUGUCAAGCUAGAGUGCAGGAGAGGAAGGUAGAAUUCCCGGUGUAGCAGUGAAAUGCGUAGAGAUCGGGAGGAAUACCAGUGGCGAAGGCGGCCUUCUGGACUGACACUGACACUGAGGUGCGAAAGCGUGGGUAGCAAACAGGAUUAGAUACCCCAGUAGUC